rnacentral:rRNA from 1 species
GAUGAACGCUGGCGGCGUGCCUAACACAUGCAAGUCGAGCGAGAACCGCUGGAAUGACACUUCGGUAGAAUGAAAGCGGGGAAAGCGGCGGACGGGUGAGUAACGCGUAGGUAACCUGCCCCAUACACAGGGAUAGCCUAGGGAAACCUGGAUUAAUACCUGAUGAAGCAACUGGUCGCAUGACCGGCUGCCAAAGAUUUAUCGGUAUGGGAUGGACCUGCGUCUGAUUAGUGAGUUGGUGGGGUAAUGGCCUACCAAAGCGACGAUCAGUAGCCGACCUGAGAGGGUGAUCGGCCACAUUGGAACUGAGACACGGUCCAAACUCCUGCGGGAGGCAGCAGUGGGGGAUAUUGCACAAUGGGCGGAAGCCUGAUGCAGCAACGCCGCGUGAGCGAAGAAGGUCUUCGGAUCGUAAAGCUCUGUCCUGGGGGAAGAAACAAAUGACGGUACCCCGGGAGGAAGCCCCGGCUAACUACGUG